CGGAAUGAACCAACCUCUGGUGUAUCAGUUGUACCGCCAGGUGCAUUGCUGAGUAGCUAAGUUGGGAAUAGAUAAGCGCUGAAAGCAUAUAAGCGCGAAACUAACCCCAAGAUUAGAACUCACAGAUUUCCCGUAGAUGACGGGUUUGAUAGGCUCCAGGUGUAAGUCCAGUAAUGGAUUCAGCCGGGGAGUACUAAUAAAUCAUUUUAUCCUUCGA
rnacentral:rRNA from 1 species